rnacentral:lncRNA from 1 species
AGUUGCCGGCACAAGUGACCGUACUGGAGAAGGGAGGCAAUGUGGGCAGCACAAAUAGGCUGCGAUCGACUCGUGUUCGACGUCCUGUACCACCUACCCGGACGCCAUACACGAGGGGAAGGGCAAAGAGAGUAAAGAAAUGAGUGAGUUCAAGUGGUUUGGUAAGAUCUGAUUUAGUAGUAGAUACGUUGUUGGUAACAAAGACAUGCUUUGAAUUUGGUUUGAUUUAUGGACUGAUACGUUUGCUCACCCAUAUGCUACACGUUAAAUUGUCUUAUGUACAGUACAUUAAUGUUUAGUGCAAGUAUGGGAUGGUAUUGUCGGUACAUUUUAUGUGUAUGCGUUGACGACAUAAUGCAUUUACUGUUCUUGAAAUAUGCUACACGUUAAACUGUCUUUUGUAGAGUACAUAUCGUUUUACUAUAAUACAUGUUUAGUGCAAGCAUGGGAUGGUAGUGUCGAUAAAUUUUGUGUGUAUGCGUUGACGACAUAAUGCAUGUCUUCUUCAUGAAAUGUGAAAGGGUACAUCAACAUCAUAACUAAAAUGAAUAUAUCAUCAUUCUUAUACAUCCCAGUCAUAUGACUUGUCAACACAAACGGACGAUUUUUCCUGUUAGAGUCCUCACAAAAAUCUGCAUGCGUACGCGCAACCUUAGCACGAAGUGCAGAGUUGACUCCUGGUCUGGUGGGAUUCCUUCCUUGUCCUGAAUUGUAGCUUUAACAUUAUCGCUGGUGUCGGAGCUUUCACCUUCACGGGUUAUUGUCUUCCCGGUAGGGCUUUUGACAAUAAUCUGCCUGCCACCACCAAGCCUUGACAUGAAAUGGAGUGUGGACUCCUUAUGAAUUUUAUAGUCACCCGAACUACGGCCAUCCAAAGCUAUUAACCAGCGAACAUGAGCCUCUGUGUUGGUCAGGUGCGAUGCCUUCGUUGUCUUGUAUGUUGGCUUCACCAUUAUAUUUAUGGCCUGUAUUGUUUAUAAAUCCUUUCACAUAUCAUAAGCAAUACAAGCCAUAAAUAUAUUGGUCAUUAGAUUGCCUGUACGUUUUCUACUCCAUGGGUGAGUACAUUUUCUGGUUCUUAUGUUGAUUGAAUGGAUAGUUAUGAACUUGCUCUGCUCUAUCAUUUCACUUUAGUAGACACCUGAUGCAGGUAGGCAGCUGAUUAAUUCGGAGGGCUGAUUUUUCAGUUGAUCAUGUGCUUUCAUCGAGGUGUGAUGACAUUUUUUUGUACAAUGAUGAAGAGGUGUAGUUAACAGCACCAAAUAACAACCAAAGGGAUCCAAACCUGGGUUCAUGCCUGAAGGUGCAACUGUGGAGACGAUUACAUCGUAUCACAUAUGAUGUAAUCGUUGAUGAUGUCAAGGGGGUUUAUGAGAUUACUUCAAUUCCAUAUGGGGAUAUGGUUAAGUGGAACGCACAUUCAGACAUGACAUUUGUUUGUAUUGUAAUUAAUUUAAUGUUCAUCAUACUUGAUGAAGUAAUAGUAUUCUGUAAUUUCAUUUCAUUAGAAUUGAAGGUGUUAUACCUGCACAAAUGAGUCAUGGUAUGAAAUGAUCUUCUGUGUAAUGGAGUGUGGUCGAAUGAUUGAGGACAAUGAUUAUUGUAAAAUUCGCAUUACCGUAGAAUGAAAAAUUCGGUGUUAUCUUUGCUACGUUGGC